rnacentral:rRNA from 1 species
AAAUUGAAGAGUUUGAUCAUGGCUCAGAUUGAACGCUGGCGGCAGGCCUAACACAUGCAAGUCGAACGGUAACAGGAAGCAGCUUGCUGCUUUGCUGACGAGUGGCGGACGGGUGAGUAAUGUCUGGGAAACUGCCUGAUGGAGGGGGAUAACUACUGGAAACGGUGGCUAAUACCGCAUAACGUCGCAAGACCAAAGAGGGGGACCUUCGGGCCUCUUGCCAUCAGAUGUGCCCAGAUGGGAUUAGCUUGUUGGUGAGGUAACGGCUCACCAAGGCGACGAUCCCUA